UCAGGUAGGGAUACCCGCU
rnacentral:rRNA from 1 species